CAGCUGGGACUCUGUGCUGUGGCAGCCUAAGCGAACCUCUUCACGGGCUAAUGACAAUUGCAGGCAUUGUUGGGCUGUGUCCUAAGGUGAAUCAACAUAAAGAAAAGCCCUGGCUGCUCGUGCACUGAUAACUUCAUCUUUUCGGACAUCUGGGAACUACCGCCACAAUGUCUGGAAAAAAAAUGACUUCAAACUAAUGCAGCAGAGGCAAACCAUGGUUUGGCCAAAAAUGGAACAGAAUUUACAAGGGAAAAGGGAAGUUCCUGGAGUAAUAUGUGUAGGUCAGAUGAGGAUGGAACUGGUGAAUGAGCAGAAGAGAAGGUUGGAAGAGUGCAGUGGUGAUGACAGCCCUCCGCUGCUCCUUCCCCAGAGGAAGGAGCUCCAGUCCAUCCAAUUCCAAGCUCAUACUUCUUC
rnacentral:lncRNA from 1 species